CCUACGGGAGGCAGCAGUGGGGAAUCUUGCACAAUGGAGGAAACUCUGAUGCAGCGAUGCCGCGUGAGUGAAGAAGGCCUUUGGGUUGUAAAGCUCUUUCGUCGGGGAAGAAAAUGACUGUACCCGAAUAAGAAGGUCCGGCUAACUUCGUGCCAGCAGCCGCGGUAAUACGAAGGGACCUAGCGUAGUUCGGAAUUACUGGGCUUAAAGAGUUCGUAGGUGGUUGAAAAAGUUAGUGGUGAAAUCCCAGAGCUUAACUCUGGAACUGCCAUUAAAACUUUUCAGCUAGAGUAUGAUAGAGGAAAGCAGAAUUUCUAGUGUAGAGGUGAAAUUCGUAGAUAUUAGAAAGAAUACCAAUUGCGAAGGCAGCUUUCUGGAUCAUUACUGACACUGAGGAACGAAAGCAUGGGUAGCGGAGAGGAUUAGAUACCCUCGUAAUCCAUGCCGUAAACGAUGUGUGUUAGACGUUGGAAAUUUAUUUUCAGUGUCGCAGCGAAAGCGAUAAACACACCGCCUGGGGAGUACGACCGCAAGGUUAAAACUCAAAUGAAUUGACGG
rnacentral:rRNA from 1 species